AGCGAACGCUGGCGGCAGGCUUAACACAUGCAAGUCGAGCGGGCACUUUCGGGUGUCAGCGGCGGACGGGUGGGUAACGCGGGGGAACGUGCCCUCUGGUUCGGAAUAACUCAGGGAAACUUGAGCUAAUACCGGAUACGCCCUUUUGGGGAAAGGCUUGCUGCCGGAGGAUCGGCCCGCGUCUGAUUCGCUAGUUGGUGAGGUAACGGCUCACCAAGGCGACGAUCAGUAGCUGGUCUGAGAGGAUGAUCAGCCACACUGGGACUGAGACACGGCCCAGACUCCUACGGGAUGCAGCAGUGGGGAAUAUUGGACUAUGGGCGCAAUCCUGAUCCAGCCAUGCCGCUUGAGUGAUGAAGUUCUUAGGGUUGUAAAGCUCUUUUAUCCGGGACGAUAAUGACGGUACCGGAGGAAUAAGCCCCGGCUAACUUCGUG
rnacentral:rRNA from 1 species